AUGGAGCUGGGGCUGUGCUGGGUUUUCCUUGUUGCUUUUCUAAAAGGUGUCCAGUGUGAGGUGCAGCUGGUAGGGUCUGGGGGAGGCCUGGUGCAGCCUGGGGGGUCCCUGAGACUCUCCUGUGCAGCCUCCGGAUUCACCUUCAGUAGCUAUGACAUGCACUGGAUCCGCCAGGCCCCAGGGAAGGGGCUGGAGUGGGUGGCAGUUAUAUGGUCGGAUGGAAGUCAACAAAAAUAUUCAGAGUCUGUGAAGGGCUGCUUCACCAUCUCCAGAGACAACUCCAAGAACAUGCUGUACCUGCAAAUGAGCAGCCUGAAAGCAGAGGACACAGCCGUGUAUUACUGUCAAACACUGCAGUGCGUCACACCUCACCUGCUCCCAUUAGAGGAAGGGGGUCCUGGACACAGCAACAGCCAGGUUCACUCUGCACAAGAUAUGAAACUAAGGGCACUGUGA